GUUCUUUGCCAGCUUAAUGUCUCGGCCCAGUGGCCGGGGCAGCGGGGGAUCCAAUGACCGCCGCGCGUGAAAAACUUGUCGCGCGGCUUCGGGGCGAACGGCGCUUGCGGCGCCGGGGGCACUUGAUGGCCCAAGCCCGACAGCUAACUCCGUCAGCAUGCAAUCAAGAGGCAGA
rnacentral:sRNA from 2 species